rnacentral:rRNA from 1 species
AACGAACGCUGGCGGCAUGCCUAACACAUGCAAGUCGAACGAGACCUUCGGGUCCUGUCGCGCACGGGUUCGUCACGCGUGGGAACCUGCCCUUAGGUUCGGCAUAACUCUCCGACAGGGGUGAUAAUACCGGAUCGGGUCUUCGACCCAAUGAUUUAUUGCGAUUGGAUGGGCCCGCGUUGGAUUCGCUUGUUGGUAGGGUAAUAGCCUACCAAGGCGACCAUUCACAGCUGGUCUGAGAGAAAGAUCAGCCACACUGGGACUGAGACGCGGCCCAGACUCCUACGGGAGGGAGGAGUGGGGGAUGGUGGAAAAUGGGGGAAGGCCUGAAGCAGCAAGGCCGCGUAAGUGAUGAAGGCCGUAGAGAUGUAAAGCGCAUUUACCCGGGAUGAUAAUGACGGUACCGGGAGAAUAAGCUCCGGCUAACUACGUG